AACUUUUAACAAUGGAUCUCUAGGCUCUCAUAUCGAUGAAGAACACAGUGAAAUGUGAUAAGUAAUGUGAAUUGCAGAAUUCAGUGAAUCAUUGAAUCUUUGAACGCACCUUGCAUCUUUUGGUAUUCCAAAAGGUAUGCCUGUUUGAGUGUCAUGAAAAUCUCUCACCAAAUUAAUUUUUGGUGGAUGUUG
rnacentral:rRNA from 1 species